GUGUCCCUGCGCUGACCGAAUCGCAGUAUAGUUUCUGAGCCGAUGUGUUUUUUAUGGGAGAUCGCUAUGUUUGUGGUGUGCGUCCUUGUUGUUCAAAGGAACCUAAAGCAAACAUGCUUCGCCCCCCUCACUUUGAGGGUUCGAUAACUUUCUGUUGGAGCGACAGUGCGGGGAUGCU
rnacentral:other from 1 species